rnacentral:rRNA from 1 species
ACCGGGAAGAGCUCAAUUUGAAAUCUGGCGUCCUCAGGGCGUCCGAGUUGUAAUCUAUAGAGGCGUUUUCCGUGCCGGACCGUGUCCAAGUUCCUUGGAACAGGAUAUCAAAGAGGGUGACAAUCCCGUACUUGACACGACGACCGGUGCUCUGUGAUACGUCUUCUACGAGUCGAGUUGUUUGGGAAUGCAGCUCAAAAUGGGUGGUGAGUUCCAUCUAAAGCUAAAUAUUGGCGAGAGACCGAUAGCGAACAAGUACCGUGAGGGAAAGAUGAAAAGCACUUUGGAAAGAGAGUUAAACAGUACGUGAAAUUGUUGAAAGGGAAACGAUUGAAGUCAGUCGUGACCGAGAGGCUCAGCCGGUUCUGCCGGUGUAUUCCCCUCGGUCGGGUCAACAUCAGUUUUGUCCGGUGGAUAAGGGCGGUAGGAAGGUGGCACCCUCGGGUGUGUUAUAGCCUGCCGUCGCAUACAUCGGGUGAGACUGAGGAACGCAGCUCGCCUUUAUGGCCGGGGUUCGCCCACGUCCGAGCUUAGGAUGUUGACAUAAUGGCUUUAAACGACCCGUCUUGAA